AUGUACCAAUCGUACACUCCGGUUCCUGCGCGCCGUCCGCACCCACCUGACGACUGCUCGCUACGUUUUGUUAGCC
rnacentral:sRNA from 1 species